UUAUUUAUUUAUUUAAUUAAUUAAUUUGUAUACCGCCCGAUCCCCGAAGGGCUCCGGGCGGUCGACAACAUUCACUAAAACAUCAACAGGAGAGGUCAUACAAAUAUAAACACAUAGGCUCCAUCCCAUAAAUAGCUUGAGAUUCAUUAAACACCAAAAAACC